AGAGUUUGAUCUGGCUCAGACGAACGCUGGCGGCGNNNUAGACAUGCAAGUCGAACGAGACUUUUCGUUGUAGCAAUACGAUGGAAAGUUUAGUGGCGAACGGGUGCUUAACACGUGGCAACCUGCCAUGAAGUGGGGGAUAGCUCGCCGAAAGGCGAAUUAAUACCGCAUGUGAUUAGAGAGGACAUCCUUUCAAAAUUAAAGUCGGGGCAACCUGACGCUUCUUGUGGGGCCCGCGGCCUAUCAGCUAGUUGGUGAGGUAACGGCUCACCAAGGCUUUGACGGGUAGCUGGUCUGAGAGGACGACCAGCCACACUGGGACUGAGACACGGCCCAGACACCUACGGGUGGCAGCAGUCGAGAAUUUUUGACAAUGGGGGAAACCCUGAUCGAGCGACGCCGCGUGGAGGAUGAAGGUCUUCGGAUUGUAAACUCCUGUCAUUUGGGAACAAGGUGCACACGUUAACUGCGUGAGUAUUGAUAGUACCAGAAGAGGAAGAGACGGCUAACUCUGUGCCAGCAGCCGCGGUAAUACAGAGGUCUCAAGCGUUGUUCGGAUUCAUUGGGCGUAAAGGGUGCGUAGGCGGCGCGGUAAGUCGGGUGUGAAAUCUCGGAGCUUAACUCCGAAACUGCAUUCGAUACUGCCGUGCUUGAGGACUGGAGAGGAGACUGGAAUUUACGGUGUAGCGGUGAAAUGCGUAGAUAUCGUAAGGAAGACCAGUGGCGAAGGCGGGUCUCUGGACAGUUCCUGACGCUGAGGCACGAAGGUCAGGGGAGCAAACGGGAUUAGAUACCCUAGUAGUCC
rnacentral:rRNA from 1 species